rnacentral:rRNA from 1 species
UGGGGAAUAUUGGACAAUGGGCGAAAGCCUGAUCCAGCCACGCCGCGUGUGUGAUGAAGGCCUUCGGGUCGUAGAGCACUGUCGAGGGGGACGAUAAUGACGGUACCCCUUUAGCAAGCACCGGCUAACUCCGUGCCAGCAGCCGCGGUAAUACGGAGGGUGCAAACGUUGCUCGGAAUCAUUGGGCGUAAAGCGCGUGUAGGCGGUUUAUCAAGUCGGAUGUGAAAGCCCGGGGCUCAACCCAGGAAGUGCACCCGAUACUGGUAAACUAGAGUACGGGAGAGGGUAGUGGAAUUCCCGGUGUAGAGGUGAAAUUCGUAGAUAUCGGGAGGAACACCAGUGGCGAAGGCGACUAUCUGGACCGAUACUGACGCUGAGACGCGAAAGCGUGGGGAGCAAACAGGAUUAGAUACCCCUGUAGUCC